UUGGUGGGGUAAUGGCCUACCAAGGCGACGACGGGUAGCCGGCCUGAGAGGGCGACCGGCCACACUGGGACUGAGACACGGCCCAGACUCCUACGGGAGGCAGCAGUGAGGAAUAUUGCGCAAUGGGCGAAAGCCUGACGCAGCGACGCCGCGUGAGGGAUGAAGGCCUUCGGGUUGUAAACCUCUUUCAGCAGGGAAGAAGCGAAAGUGACGGUACCUGCAGAAGAAGCACCGGCUAACUACGUGCCAGCAGCCGCGGUAAUACGUAGGGUGCAAGCGUUGUCCGGAAUUAUUGGGCGUAAAGAGCUCGUAGGCGGUCUGUCGCGUCUGCUGUGAAAACUCGGGGCUUAACCCCGGGCCUGCAGUGGGUACGGGCAGACUAGAGUGUGGUAGGGGAGACUGGAAUUCCUGGUGUAGCGGUGAAAUGCGCAGAUAUCAGGAGGAACACCGGUGGCGAAGGCGGGUCUCUGGGCCAUAACUGACGCUGAGGAGCGAAAGCGUGGGGAGCGAACAGGAUUAGAUACCCUGGUAGUCCACGCCGUAAACGUUGGGCGCUAGGUGUGGGGCUCUUUCCAUGGGUUCCGUGCCGCAGCUAACGCAUUAAGCGCCCCGCCUGGGGAGUACGG
rnacentral:rRNA from 1 species